UCACAGGCAACAAAUCUGGGGUACACAAACAUUAAGCUCUCACUGAGGUGGGACUCAUCCUUCCAUUCCAGCUCAAACACAAAAAUAAUUCAGAUAAAUUACCUAAUGACUGGGGUACUUUACAGCACCAAUUGUUGUAUUUCCUGUGACUGUGGAAUUGCUUUUCCUUCUUUCACACCAUACACUGUGGCCCUGACAGUGGUCUGGCACCAAAGUUAGAACAUCUAUGACUUGUCACAACAUACAGGGAAAGCUUGUAGAAGACUAAUGACUGAAAAGCUCUAGAUCUGCUGGUAACUGCUUAAUAACAGAGUGCUUUAAAAUGCUUUUCUGACACUUCCAUCUUUUAUUUAUAGAAUGCAGGGUACAUGUAAACAGUGUCUUUGGGAUUGCAUACAGAGCUCUGGGGCAUUCACAGAUCCCAGCUAUAAAUCCAGAAUAAGGCAACACAUACUGAUUGUGAUAUUGUUACUGUUGUAAUAAACAUGAUGUUUGCUCUUUUCAUAGAA